GAGACCUUCUUUUGGAUGUAAUCCGUCAUUUUUAAAAACAAUGUAAAAAAUUGAUGAUAGAAAAAUAAAUAUCAUUAUACUUCGGCUACAGAUCUUGCUCUUUGUAGUCUUGGAAAAAAGUGUUAUAAUUUUCUGAUCAUAUGGUAUUUGUUUACACUUGAAAAUGACAGAACGAUGUUCCCGUUCCCAAUUAUAACAGUUUUGGCUCAUCAAAAGGGGGUCAACUUUUAGAUUGGAUUUUGUUCGAAGAUCCACUUAUGUUAUGUGAUUGAAGUAUACUGCGAUCGAAAGCUGGCUCGUGUGUAGCACGGAAAAAAGUCCUGUUUGCCUAUAGUGUAGUGCUUGAGGACGAAUUAUCGUCAUCUGGCGCUGAAGCAAUCCAAUCACCUACCAAAAAUUUCCGCUUCCAAGAAAUAGCGUCGGAAAGCGUCGUACCUUGAAAGCAAUUGCUAGGAAGCGGUUAAUGGAUCCUUUGAAUUUACCUGAACAUAACCUCGAAAAACAAGAUCAAGUAUAUCUGGAAGUUCGCCGCCACCUGAUCUAUUUCAACAGCUUUGCAUUAAUCCACCCCAAUACAAAAAAUAGAUUUACGUGCUGCUCCCCAAAUGACCCCCUUUCGUGCAAUGGUACCUUCGGGUACGCCUUCUGCUUUUCAUAAACCGGCGAAUAUGGAUCGUUGCUGCCGGAAAUUUGGUGCACCUCUUUUUAUAGACUGAGGGUAAGGAAAGCCUUCGCGAACGCACUUUUGUAAAUAAAACAAUCAAACUUUAAAAAUAAUAAUUUCACAAAAAUAAACGAACUAUUCUUCAUUUAAUUCAGUUUUGUUUGCAUCUAGCUGUGAUUCGGUGCAAAAGUGUGCUUGUGUUGGUUAAUAAUAUAUUUCGCGCCAAUACAUGCACUUUUUGCUCGUAUGACAGCUGGAUGUAAAUAAACCAGCAUGAAAUCCCACCCGAAAAUACCCUAACCACUGCCUAACCGCCUAAAGCGAAACAUAGCUA